GGGCCUCCAACUGCAUUCGUUAGAAAUAAGACAAAAUUAAAACCAGUGCUAUGCUUAAACUUGCGUCACAUUCUCCUCCGUUCCAUCAAUUUUUCAGUUUUGCGUAUCACAAAACCAUGUCUUGAUAAUUAAGCGUAUUUAUACCAAAAAGAACUCUGUACAAACAAAUGAAAUCAAAACAAACUAUGCACGUAAUAUUUGUAAUUCCUUCGCAUUUAAUUAGUUUGUACUUACUAACCUUUAGCAUAAAUGUGUCAAGUUGGAUCUUAUUUGUAUAGUAUAAAGAAAGAAAGCAACGCAAACUUUGAAUGUUCUAGAUAUAUCAUUAUAAUGGUGAUUCUUGAUAUUUUCUGUAUCCCUGCUUUCAGCCUACUCUGAAUUACCAAAGAGUGCAACGAGAAAUGCUCAUUAGCAUGGGGUUACCAUUAUGAAUCCAACGAUAAAGUAUGCACAGAUCUAGUGUUUGCGAAAGGGAAAGUAACUCCCAUCACGAAAGGAACAACAAUCAAAACAUCCAUGGUUAGGAGUCUCACCGGUUUUGUCCAAGCUGCUGGAGAGGUGAUGCAUUUAAAGAAACCUGGGUAUACGUGUUUCUGCAUGACAACGAAGGCAUUCCAUUCCGUCCUUCAAACCAAGUUAAACACUUUGCCUGACGAUUUUGAAAAAAUGAGGAAAGACCUGAAAAAGGAUCCUGAUGGGGCGAGCAAAAUCCUGAACCAGAUAUACCCUGAAGAAGAUCGAGUUAUGGUCCACUAAAAAAUGGCAUGUUCCUAACAACACCAUUUACUUAGCGGUUUUUCUCCUCUUUUAUAUGUGAUGACGACGUCUCUGCAAUAGCACAUAUCCACCUAGAAUUAUGCCUCCAGAAAGUUAAGUUCUCUUAGAGAUGGUUUUAAAAUAUAAGUAUUAUAGUCCUUAGAGUUUUACUAACUUUUCUAGAAUGGUCUAAUCCACAGUUUUCAUUUUUCUAUUGUAAAUAAAUUGAUUCUGCAUUCGUUUACAACUUGUUUACAUUAUUUUCUUUCUGCUUUCGUAGUAUCUGUUUCCCUUCUUCUUUAUUCUCUUGGAUUUGCCAUUUGGAACAUACUGCUCUAAACUAAAAUUUUGCGAGAAAUACAGUUUUGUAGAUUUUCCUGCUCAAAAUCCAAUCUUGAGCUCUUCAGACAGUUCCUGGCGUUAAUUCCUUGUACCUAGGUCACUUUUGUAACUUCAUCGAGGGCUACUUCUGCCAUGAGUCACACUCAGAACAUGUUUAGCAUUCAUAUGCAAAUGGGUCAAACAUUCCGUGGGAUGUCAUGAACUUGGAGCAUCCAUCAUGCCAAAUAACAUGACUACGUGGUAAAAUGAUUGAAAAAAUAAUCGUGCUACAAGCCAAGAAUAAAUUAGACAAAUAAUACUUCAAACUACAUAGAGAUGAGAAAUACCAAAAAAUUCACAGGAAACAAAACGAAACAAACGUUUUGACCGCCUACAACUGCGGUCUUCUUCAGUGCAACAAGUGGAAACAUUUUACAAAAACAAAUUUAAAAAAAUAUAUAAAAAAGCUACAAAACUAUUAGCCAAACGAAGUAAAGCGAAAAUACAAGUCUAUUGCAACUACAUUUUGGAAUAAAAUAAAAAUAAGGCAAAAUUCAAGAGGAAAGAAUAGUGAUAGCAGUGAUAGGAAGGAAGUAGGUAAAUAAUAAACCAAAGACAAACAAAACACAGUUGUUGGCGGUCGAAACGUUUGUUUCGUUUUGUUUCCUGUAAGAUUUUUGGUAUUUCUUAUCUCUUUCUUAUCUCUUUCUUAUGCCGCAAAAUCCAAGACGGGAUGUUAAGUUGGGUUCACUGCCGAGUGUGAUCUACUGAUGAGUUCUAAAAAGGCCCAAACCGGUAUAGAUCUCUCGACGUGACUCCAACUUAAUACUCAAAUGCAAACUGCCUGAGCUGAACACUCUUUCCCCUCAGUUUCGUACUGGUGCGCAUUAGAGUUCAAAAAUUUAAUUUUGACUCUAA
rnacentral:lncRNA from 1 species